UACCAGCACCCCGAGUGGUCGGGACGUUUAUUGGGCCUAAAGCAUCCGUAGCCGGUUCUACAAGUCUUCCGUUAAAUCCAACUGCUCAACAGGUGGGCUGCGGAAGAUACUAUAGAGCUAGGAGGCGGGAGAGGCAAGCGGUACUCGAUGGGUAGGGGUAAAAUCCGUUGAUCCAUUGAAGACCACCAGUGGCGAAGGCGGCUUGCCAGAACGCGCUCGACGGUGAGGGAUGAAAGCUGGGGGAGCAAACCGG
rnacentral:rRNA from 1 species